rfam:Myotis brandtii contig258503, whole genome shotgun sequence.
GGAGGUUCUUGGGUGACACACCCCAGAAUCAGGCUCCCUCCUCUCUGGUUCUGGGGUGCGUCACCCGAGAACCGUU